rnacentral:lncRNA from 1 species
UGCUUCCAUUUUGCCCAUUGCUUCCAUUGUUACUUCCUGAUGCACUUCCAUAAUUAGCAGCGUCUCCUUCAACAGGAGUUCCUACCAUGUCAGAUGUUCCGAAAUUUGGAGCAGCUCCAACAGCAUUUCUCAUGGUCGAAUCAUCAGUGUCAAGCAGCUGUUGUUGCUGCUUCAGGUCAAGUACAUGGUGGUGAUGGUGAUGGUAGUGAUGAUGGUGGUGCUGAACUUGGACCUGCUGCUGCAUCGCCCUUGCUUGGGCCAGGGCUGCCUUUGCAGCA